GGACGGCUGAGUGGUUAAGGCAUUGGACUAAAGAUCCAAUGGGUGUAUGUCUGCAAGGGUUCAAACCAUCCUGGUAACCU
rnacentral:tRNA from 1 species